rnacentral:rRNA from 1 species
UACGUAGGGUGCAAGCGUUGUCCGGAAUUAUUGGGCGUAAAGAGCUCGUAGGCGGUUUGUCGCGUCUGCCGUGAAAGUCCGGGGCUCAACUCCGGAUCUGCGGUGGGUACGGGCAGACUAGAGUGAUGUAGGGGAGACUGGAAUUCCUGGUGUAGCGGUGAAAUGCGCAGAUAUCAGGAGGAACACCGGUGGCGAAGGCGGGUCUCUGGGCAACAACUGACGCUGAGGAGCGAAAGCGUGGGGAGCGAACAGG